rnacentral:lncRNA from 1 species
AAUCUAAAACGAAAGUCUGAAAAUGAUCCUUGUUCAAUGAGAAAAAUAUGUUUAUCAGGCAAAUCUGAGAACAUUGAUUUUUUAUUUUACUUCAUAAACAGCAACCAACGAUCCUCUUUUUCAUAGAACAUCAUGAACAAAAUCUUCAUUAAUCUCCUCCAAUAUGAAUUUACCAGCGAAAACAGAAAAACUUCCUCCAUCAUCAGCCGAACACACAUUUACAAUUUCUAUUUUCUCUGCACUCUAUUCUCGUUCCACCACCACGACAUUGCCACUACUACUUUAGCGAGCUGUUGACUUGUGAAAUCACAUCACCCCUACCCAUCACUUUAACCACUAAACAACCACCACGAGUUUCACUUCUCCGCAUAUUUAACAACUCUAACUUAAACUAUGAAAGAUCUGAAAUUAAUGAUUACAUGGUUUUAUGGAACACAAUUUUGGGUAGUAAUCUUUCGAAAUGUAGUAGAAUUUGAAUUCUAAAAAUUAGAAGAAAAAUUGAUUAAGUAAAAAAGAGAAAAAGAUAAAAAAGAAAAGGGUUAAAUGUUGAAGCGU